UCUCAAAGAUUUGUUAGGGUUUAUUGUGGUUAAUUUAUUGGUGUGUAGUUGGUGGUUGAGUCAAAGUAGUGAUUGUUAGUAGAUGAAUUUGGUCUUGGUUCAGGUUCUUGGUUAUUACUGUGUUAAAUACAUGGUACCUUACGGGAUCCGGUGAGGGGUGGGCUUAAGGAAUCUUUUGGUUAAAAACUUCUAGGUUCUUUUUGUCUCUGUGGUAUGAUAGUUAAUAGAAGAGGCCAGAUGUGUAGUUCACUGUACACCAGUAUUGGAGUUUGGACAAUAAAUUAGUGUUUGAUCCAGCAAUUAGUAGAUUGGUCGGGGGAGUUCCCCUAAAUAAACUAUGUUAGGCCCGGUAAAACUUGUGCCAGCAAUCGCGGUUAAACAAGUGUGGCCUAGGCAAGACUACACGGUAUAAAAGAGGGUUAGGGGUAUGGAUGUCUUUGCUUAUAUGUGAAGGUAGCAAACGUGAAAAUAAAAAGAUGAGGUCGGCUGCGUAGGGUCAAAUCUACAGUCAUGUACAAUUAUUCAUAGCUUUUUAGUUCUUUAAUCCCUGAAACUCAGGUUAGAGACCGGGAUUAGAUACCCCGUUAUUCUGAGCGUAAAAUUUGGGCGUUUAGCUGCCCUACCGGGGUACUACGAGCUUGCUUUUCUGGAGAACUGCUUAAAUGGGUGGUUGAAGGUUUGGCAAACAGGCUUAAAACUCAAAAGACUUGGCGGUGCUUUAAGUCUCUCCAGGGGAACCUGUCCCGUAAUCGAUGAUCCACGCAUUAUUUUACUCCAUUUUGAAAAAUAGAGGUGACUCUUGCUCAAAUGGGUACAGCCCGUAUACCGCCGUCGUCAGUCUACCCUUGAGGGUUUUUGUGUUGAUAAGUAGGCCAGUUGAAUGUGAUUUUUGAAGGACGGUGAUCGCGGUGAGGUUCAUUUUUUUGUGUAUUCAUGAAGUCAGGUCAAGGUGCGGCCAAUGGUGGAGAUUGAGAUGGGUUACAUUAAUUAAAUUAUUAUUCGGAUAUAUUUUUGUAAUAGAAUAUUGAAGUCGGACUUGGAAGUAAUCUUAGAGUAGCGAGCUAAGGUGAAUUAAGCGCUGAAGUGUGUACAAAUCGCCCGUCGCUCUCGCCGAAAGGGGAGAUAAGUCGUAACACAGUGAGGGUACCGGAAGGUGCCCUGGGAAUAUAAGGAAGGGU
rnacentral:rRNA from 1 species